AUAACAAAACCAAUCCUCUCCUCUCCUCUCCUCUCCCCCUCUCCUUCCUCUUCCCAAUCCACACUCGCUCAACUAUCAAGUCUCACUCUCACUCUUGCCCUAAUCCCAAACUCUUUCAAUGGCAAUUUCAGCCUCAGCUACAGUCUCCACCUCCUCCAAACUAGCAUACCCACAUCCUUCUCCUUCCUCCACAAGCUCCACUUUCUCUUUUAAACCCACCAAUAACCUAACCCCAAAAACCCUCCUUUUCUCUUCUUUCAUUUCCCCUUUUCUCACCACCACCUGCUCCACCUCCACCUCCUCCCCCACCUCUACCAUCCGCCGUC
rnacentral:lncRNA from 1 species